rnacentral:lncRNA from 1 species
CAAGCAGCUCCAUUCCCCACGGCAACUGUGCAGAGAGGCUUGCAGGUCCAAACCACUGGUAGCAGCCCCUGGUAUAUCCAGGACAUCAGCACAUAGAACCAGUGAAAGGGUCCUCCCUCAUAGUGACGCAUGUCAUAGACUCAGAUUUAUACAAACAAAUGCUGAGCAAACCAUGAAGAGUCUCUGGUAUUUUCAACAAUAUCAUCACAGAGGAACUGUAUUGAUUUCCUUGAAUUCUUGACCAAGACUACAAAUGUAGCCCAUUUGACAUCGAAAACAUUGGGACAGGUGUGAGAGUGAGGAAAAUGGGGAGAAAAAAGAACUUUGAAGACAAGGAUUUGAAGUUAGCAUGAAGCAUGGAAAGGAGGAAGGGCAAGCUUUCUGCAGUGAGGACAGUGCCUGCCAGAGAAAACCAGAUCCUGGGGAGGGGUUUCUCCAGAAAGAGAAAGUCAAAGCUGCAGGUAGGCUCUGGAGACAAGGAGCUCGCAUGCAGUGAAGGUGGCGGCCACAUUGAGAAAUCACUCCAGGCUGAAGGACAUGCACCAAAGGCGGGAGGGGUGGCACCAUGGACAGAGCUUCGGAUGGGUGCAGGUGGGGCUAAGAAGGCAGCAUGGGGCAGAUGCUGCAAGUAUGGAAGCCAGGACACGAGCUUCCUUCCAACCACCAAAGGGCAACUCACAAGCAAAAUUCUUUCCUAAUGCUUCACCACGUUUUUUUUCUUUUUUAGACAGAUCUCACUCUGUUGCCCAGGCUGGAGUGCAGUAGUGCAGUCACAGCUCACUGCAGCCUCAAACUCCUGGGCUGAAAGGAUCCUGGCACCUCAGCCUCCUGAGUAGCUGGGACUACAGGUGUGCGCCAUCAUACCCAGCUAAUUUUUUUAUUUUUUGCAGAUACGGGGUCUCCCUAUGUUGCUUAGGCUGGUCUUGAGCUCCUAGCCUCAAGUCAUUCUCUUACCUUGGCCUCCCAAAGUGCUGGGAUUACAGGUGUGAGCCAUGGUGCCUGGCGACCUCACCAUUUUUGCUGACUGAAUCACUUGACUAACCUAACUAUAGCUUGCUGCUGAAGAUGCUGGCAACCUAGUAGACAAUACGUCAAGAUGUGAGGAUGCUCCAUAGUAAUGUAAUACCUUCCAUUCAACCAAGGUUAAAAGUGUCAACUAAAUGCUAAUGUCUCCACCAACCACAGAUGGGGUUUGCAGGAGCAAUGGCUGUAGGGACACUAAGAUUUCACCCUCCAGAAGACAGCAUCUUCCUGUGCCAUGGCUAGAUCACCAGCUACCCACAGACAGCCUGAACUCCAAUUGUCUUCCUGCACAUGUGCCUUUAAAGGAACUUUUCAAAUGUAGAGGAGCCUUUAGAAGGAAGCCUUGAGCAUGAGGACAGACCCCCCUCAUCCAACCACCACCUGACUCUGUGUGAACCUGGAACUGUUAGAAUGUCUGUGCUGUGAUAAAAGGUCAUCUCCCUACAAUGUUAUGAUACAGACCUCAAACCUACAAACAUGAGGAACUUCUGCCUCCAGGUUAACUGCUUACCCACUGUACAAGACACGUUACACACAGUCCAGGAGGCGGAGCUUCUGAGAUAUCUAGAAACAGCUUAGAGGCAAAAUGACAAAAUAAAGCAGCAACAACAAAUAAAACCAAUCUUCUCGAACU